rnacentral:rRNA from 1 species
GACGAACGCUGGCGGCGUGCCUAACACAUGCAAGUCGAGGGGUGAUUUCGGUCAUCACUGGCGCACGGGUGAGUAACGCGUAGAUCAUCUGCCCCUAUCACUGACAUAACAGUUCUAACGGACUGCUAAUAUCAGAUGAGGUGAGCAAUCAUCAAAGUUUCGACGGAUAGGGAUGAGUCUGCGUCUGAUUAGGUAGUUGGUGAGGUAACGGCUCACCAAGCCGACGAUCAGUAACUGGUCUGAGAGGACGAACAGUCACACUGGAACUGAGACACGGUCCAGACUCCUACGGGAGGCAGCAGUGAGGAAUAUUGCACAAUGGGAGGAAUCCUGAUGCAGCGACGCCGCGUGCGGGAUGAAGGGGCUUAGCUCGUAAACCGCUGUCGGAGGGACGAAUGGUACAUUUGAUGUACUGAGACGGUACCCUCAAAGG